AAUGGAAUUUCCUCAGGUGUAAGUUGAACAAGUCUGUAAAUGGGCAGCCGUAUGGCCCAAGAAGCAGAGUCUUUUUAAGGAGUAAAACAAAAUCAGUAAUUGUUGUGAUAUUCAAGUGGACUGGAAAAAUGCCUUGUAAAAAUGUCAUGUAUCAAGAGGCAGUGCGAAAAAACCACGGUCACAAAUAACUUACAGACAAAUAGUGGCAGAGUGGCUACAUUUCACAGCAUUUAACUAUGAGUUGCAUGUCCGGUGUCAGUUUGCAAGCACCUCUGAAGGCAGUAUUUGGAGCUUCAUGAUUUAUCUUUGUUAAGUUACAUGUAGGAGUCACAGAGUGAAGAAGUCACAUGAGUUUGUGGUGGUACCGGGGAUCUCUAGUGAAAACUGCUGAGACUUCUAAGUCAAGUUCAAAGAAAAGAGUCAAACAAAGGGAACAAGCAUGUUUGAUCAGGAAUGAUGGUUUCUAUCUGAAUUAAGACAUUAUCCCAGUAGUUGUAAGAGGUGGUCAGUGUCUUUCCUUGGCUGCUCAGGUAGAGCAUCAGAAACACUGAGCCUGAGCAGCACUGGAGCUGUCGACUGAUACCACCUGUGCCAGAGAAUGAGGAGGCAAGUAAGAUGCAGAACAGUGCCUUAGAAUCAUUCAUUUUCCCAAAUAGGAACAUUUUUAACAUAUCCUUUUCCAUUUCAAGGGGUAUAGAGUUUUUAGAUAGAUUUCUAAGAACAUAUUUGCUUUCUGAACUUUGCCAUCAGCCCUGCUCUACAUGGGGACAGGGCAGAAAUACAAGUAAAUGUGGCAGGAGUAAGAGGAGGUGAAGACUAUGAUGCUACAGCCCUACAGAAACACCCUCUGCUUACGUGACUGGCUAUGUAUGCUUCAGAGAAGGUUGGUGGCCAUUGACUUAGCUGGCUUGGACAAGUAUCAAGACAGUAAAUACUGAGAAAAAAAUACAUUUUCCUCUGGCUUCUUUGAAAAAAUCACUCCGUGUUACAGAACACUCAAUGCUGGACUCUGUGCUUUACUCUCCAGCAUAUUUACAGUUUUGGCUCCUAACUACAGAAUCCCUCUUGUUCAUUCAAAUGGUAGUGCUUUUUGUUUGUUUGUUUGUUUUUUCCUAAAAUAUUUCCAGCUCUGGCACCUUCUCAGUUUAGUCUGAUGGUUGUCACAGUGGUAUGACUUGUGGGACUUGAAGUUGCAGGAGUUCAAGUCCCUCAAGAGCUACUUCUGUGACAGAGUAUGCUUCACUGAGGAACAAUAUGCUGAGAAAAGCUAGAGAGUUACACAGCCUAGCUGGGAAAUACCUCAUGCUCUGGUAUUUCCCUUUAUUUUUGCCCUGGCUCCUUUGCCUCUUUAUUUUUAAUUAGUGGCACAUGCUGAAAUGAUAAUUUACAUUCUUUUCAGAAAUCAAAAGAAUUCCCACUGACAACAUUAUUAAGUUGGAAUUUGAGCCAAAUAUCUAACCUCCAUUAAAUGAGAACUUGACUGAACCUGUUUUCCCUUCAUUUUGGUAGGUUACUCUGGCUUUGAAUGGAUCUGGGAUGGAUAUACACCUGCACAGAGGGUCACUGCAAGGCCAAACAUCUGCCCCUGACACCAUUUACACAGGUUUUGCUUGCCCAAUACACAAGACAGAAUUCAACAGUCACAGAGGACACCUCUUAAACUGCUGGAAUAAAGAUCCGGGGUCCUGCCUGCAGUAACUGCUCCAGAACCACUUCAGGGUUGGCUCUUGCUGGGCCCCCCACUCUGUAAGUCUGGAAACUGGUCCUUCUCCUCAUCCACCCUCUCCCACUCCUCAUGCCAACCUGUAGGAUCCUGGAAAGCUCAGGUUCCCCUCUCUAAAAUUACUGCAGUGUCCAAUGUGAGCCCAGCAGCAGCAGAGCUGCAAAGGAUACUCCUAUUGUGGUACAUAUCCUUACUGGGACAGCUUUCCUCUGAACAGCCUUUAGGCUUUGAAGUCGCCCCAGCCCUUACCAGCAACCUGCAGAGAGCUUUGGGGACUGACCUCAAUUGCUUCCUGCACAGAGUUGGACUCCGCUCUCAAGGACAACUUUGGAGAGCUUACACUAAUUUCAGCAAAGGAUGCACUUCAGGAUCCUUAAUAAAGCUUUCCUGGCAAGUUGUUCUUCUUCUUUUUUUUCUUUUUUGUAAGGCAAUACUCUCUAGCUUUCCUGGGCCUGGACUGCCCAAUUACUUGCUGUACCAAGUUACGUGCUUGAGUUUCAAAAUAUAUACCAACCUCUGGUUUCUUAAGAAAGUGUGAAAAAGUCUGUUCUACAGUAUAGGAGCUCCAGAAUAUUUUGCUCUUAACUCUGUUGGUUCCUGAUCUCAUGGUCUUCAAUGAAGAAAUAAGUUAGCUGGCAUUUUGGGAGAAGAGCAGUUUUGCACAAAAGGUGCAUAAAGUCUCCCACCGGCUGAGGCUGACCUGGACUUUAUGUCACCACAGAUGUGCCUUGAGCCCACAACGUCGAAUAGGCUGUUUUGUACUGCGCUUUUUCAGCUUUUCAGCAACUGAGGAUGUUAAGGCUACCUACGGUAUAUGCAACACUAUUCCUUACUUAUCUAAGCGAGCUGGAAAAAAGCCUUCUUGGCUAGAUUGUUGCCUAGAACAACACUGCCUAAACAUUAAAGACAAACAAGAUUAGGAGACCGUAUGGGUUUAAGUAAAAAAGAACACACUUUAUUUAUCUACAAGGCAGUACAUUGUCGUAUAAAAAAAUUAAGUGCAGGUGAAGCUGCACCAAAUGCUAUUAAGGCAGCAAAUUCAAAGGCUGUUAUAAAAAAAAAAAAAAGAAAAGAAAAAAAAAGAGGACAAUUAAAAAAAUAAAAUAAAAUCAGUGUUUUGCCAUAUCGAUAAAGAUUUGGUAUGGCAGUAUGAGGAAGCAUAUAUUUCUAAGAACCUGAUUCAGUACAUAAGACCCAAGGUAGGGAACAAUUAGCUAGACAUGGAACAAAACAGACAACACGAACGAGACAGUGUUCUCCCAAACAUAUGAAGGUGCAAUACAUGCUGUUACGAACCAGUGUGAAACAAAACCACACAUUGAGACAAUUAAAACAAAAAAAAAAUCUCCCAGGAACAGUGUUCAAAAAUAUUGCUUGUAAAAAAAAAAAAAUGGGGAAAAAAUAGAAAUGAUGUAAAAAGAAAAUUAAAA